GAAAAACUUUGAGUCAGCUUUAUUUAUUAGUUUGCAGAAAAAAAAGUUAUAGAGCCCUGUCUGAUAUCGUUAUCACAGCCAGUUAUUUAUCUCUCCUAAAAUAAUUUAAAUUUUCGAGAAUGACUGAUGUAGUCUUUAUAUUGCUUAAGAUUAAGGUGAGUUUUAGUCGCGAUAAGACUUCGGCGAAAUUGAUGUCUUUAAAUAACUUAUUACAGCUUAUGAAUCAGAAAUUGGUAUUUUGUGCAAUAAUAAUCAUUAAAUAACUUUGAAUUUAACACGUUUAACCUAACAAAUUCCAAGUAUCUGUGCUGAAUUAAUUUCCUGUCGCUACACUAGUUUUUGACCACAAAAACCCAUGCCAGCACCUGUCAGAACUUCAAGACUAAUCACCUGAGAAUUUCCAAUCGCUGAGGAAACAAUAAAUCAUCCCUUCAUCGCCAUUGUCUAACUUCAAACGAUGCAUUUUCAUUUCCAUUUCAAUUUAAAUUUCGGAAAUGAGUGCACUCUCCCAUGGUGAGUUUUACUUUUGGCCCGAUUCGAGUUUGACACUCUCGCUCGCUCUGCGCUAAUUGAAAGCAAUUAAUGCAAUUAAAAGCCUGGGAAAUGAGUUGCCGACUUAACAAAUUAAGUGCGUGUAUACGAAAAAAAAAAAAAUAACAAAACAAACAAAAUACAAAACCAUCAUACAGAAGAGGCACAUUCAAUAGAGAGCAAAAGUUUUCGCGUGUCUGUUUCGCGUUUCAUUCAACUUGGCGGCCAAGUGGGCUGCUGGGUUGGUGGGUUGGGUUGAUGGGUGGUGGGUGGUGGGUGGUUUUGGGUGUGACAGAGCGGUCCAUUCAUUAAUUCAUUGAUACCUCAAAUUGGCGGUCAGACAACCACAAGCCACAUACAAUCUCAAAAUACACAUGGAUAUAGAACAGAGAAUAGAGACAAGCGUACAGCGUACAGCGAACUGUGAACUGCGAGCAGCAGGAGCAUUUUCAGUGCUUAUUUGUUGAUUAUGAUCAUCAUCAAAAGCUGUGGAGGCCGCUUAAAUUGUGUGCCAGCCAUUAAUUGAAACUACGGAUCUACAGGGGCCUGGAUCUUGUGAUCUCUGAUCUUGAGGUGGGGUAGAAAAAUGGAAAUGAAAACGUGUGCUAAUUGCAACACUUUGUCACCAAUCAGCGGCAACAGCAUCUAUAUCUGUAUCUGUAACUGUAUCUGUUUCUGUAUCGUAUCUGUAUCUCGCACCGCACCUUAUCAAAUGGUUCUUUCUGUUCCCCGAGUUUCCCGCCUUCGAUUAGAUAAGUGCCCAUGCCCGAAACUCUUACCGUCACGUAUGUACAUACAUACGAAGAGGUUGCCCAACUUCUAAUUGGCAUUGCAUGUCCCAAGUAAAGUCGAGUUCCCCACAAGAAAUGGAAAUGUCUGCACAUUGGGCAACGCAGCCCCAAGUAAAACUCAACUCCGCGCUGAUUACGAGUCGAGUCCGACGAGCGGAGACCCGAAUGUCGAGAGCUCUUCCCUUAUCGCCGCCACCCGACGAGGUCUCUGUACCCAAAAAAAAAUGUCCACACCGCGAAAAACUAUUGGAUGAAAAACCAAUACCAAGUAUCUACAUAUAUGAAUGAGUGGAAAGGAAUCAGCCAGAUCAGUACCAUAACUAAAGUGAACAAAUCCCAAGAUAUUAUUAUUAUUUGAUAUCAGUAUUAUUUUGUUUCAGUGUGGAGAUGGCAACUUGGGUCGCCAGAGAGUCAAAAUCUUGAGACCCUGGCAAUCUAAGAAAAUCUGAAGCCAUGGAAACGACUUAUAAAUAAUGGGCUUGUUAGCUCGACUGUUCGACCAUCAGUAGUGAUUGAGCUUAAACUAUGCGAUACCCUAUACGCAUGCGAUACAAAUAUUUUAGAAGAAAACAAAUAUUUGUAUAGAGCACGUUGUAUCAGGAAUCUGAUGUGAUAAUUUCUGCGACUUCCUGGUAAUAUGGCUUACUAUAACAUUGAAUUGAUUUGUCAAAUGAUUAGCUCUAAAGCGUGACGAAACCAGUGCUGCAAAGGGCCGAAAUCAGUGUACUCAAAAUGAGAAAAAAAUCAGUCUCUUAAUAAAAACUGGAAAGUCUAUGCAAAGUGGCUAUAAAGGUGAAACUACCCUAUAUUCUGGAAUUUCAGAGGGCAUCGAGUAGAGAAAUGCCAAGCCAUAAGAAGACAGAAAGAAUCUUUUGCCCUGCUGGCAACAAUCUUCAACUAACUGGUGGUCAAACUGGUUUGCCCCCUACCUCUCCACCUCUUCCGUUCUCUUCCCUUUCCAGUUGACUGUAUACGUGCGUGUGUGUGUGAGGGGGAUCGAACUAUGGGUGGCUGUUGCGCAUGCGCAGCUAUCCUGCUUGCACCGAAGCCGCUUACGCUUCAAAUGAGCGUAAGACCAGAAGAACUCUCUUCUCUCUCACUCUGUGAAAAGUGUUUCUUUGUUGUGUUGGAAAAAAACAUCAUUUUUAUUGUCAUUAGUUGGGUCUUCUCUAAUAAAGUAGCGUCGAAAAAAAAA